rnacentral:snRNA from 1 species
GGAUGUGUAGAUGAUCUGGCUGGCUGGGAGGGGUCCCCCUCCUCUGUCACUACUCCAUGUGCACCCCUCCCAAGCUGCCCUCUCAGUUGAAGAGGACAACCUUUUCUGUGUAAGUACCACGCGCUAAUGGAUUGUGCUACUGGAGCUCUGCAGGAUGACCUUUUCUGAACAGAGGAACACGUCUUAAGUCAAGGGUAUACAAGUAGCUGUGGUCCCUUGCUAGAACCUCAAACAAGCUCUUAAAGAAACAAAAACUAAAAACCCAGAUCCGAUUCACAUUUUUCAAGGACUGUCCAAGUACGCAUUGGUGAAACAUGUGGACAGUUGCCUUCCUCA